GUACAGCUUCUUCUUGCCUGCGGACGGCCGAGGCCAGAGGAGGAGAAGGACGAUGAGAGAUGCCCGGAGGAACAUCGCAUGGCCGCGGGUUGCGCGAAUUACCCGCGGAGGGCUUCUGCUCCCUAUCAGCAUGGUUCAAGUUCACAGCUGAAAGAGACAUGGAAAGAUCAGAGGGAGAGCUGGACGUUAAAGGUCAAAGGUCGCAGCUGAUCCAGGGUCACGGCUUCGGUGAGCAAAUUUGCCAUCAGAACCAGCAGACUGCUCGGCCUCUGUAGCGGAUCCCCCCGUCCCUGGGAGGCCGGAUGAUGGCACAGCCUGAAAAAAGGAAGAAGAGGAAGAAGAAUGAAGGAAGAUAGGUCAAUGGCUGCAUCCACCCGAUCUUUCCCAGUGGCACCGCCGCCGCAGGCCCCACCUUCUUCCUGAACUUUGACGUCGGACUCGGCUCCAACGGGGGGACUACGCCCAGCGCACACAGUGGGGCGCCCUCCCUCGGCC